rnacentral:rRNA from 1 species
UACGAAGGGGGCUAGCGUUGCUCGGAAUCACUGGGCGUAAAGGGUGCGUAGGCGGGUCUUUAAGUCAGGGGUGAAAUCCUGGAGCUCAACUCCAGAACUGCCUUUGAUACUGAAGAUCUUGAGUGCGGGAGAGGUGAGUGGAACUGCGAGUGUAGAGGUGAAAUUCGUAGAUAUUCGGAAGAACACCAGUGGCGAAGGCGGCUCACUGGUCCGGUACUGACGCUGAGGUGCGAAAGCGUGGGGAGCAAACAGG